UACGAAGGGGGCUAGCGUUGUUCGGAAUCACUGGGCGUAAAGGGCGCGUAGGCGGCUGUUCAAGUCGGGGGUGAAAUCCCGUGGCUCAACCACGGAAUGGCCUUCGAUACUGGACGGCUCGAGACCGGAAGAGGUGAGUGGAACUGCGAGUGUAGAGGUGAAAUGCGCAGAUAUCGGGAAGAACACCCGUGGCGAAGGCGGUUCUCUGGGACGGUACUGACGCUGAGACGCGAAAGCGUGGGGAGCGAACAGG
rnacentral:rRNA from 1 species